rnacentral:precursor_RNA from 10 species
CAUCAAACAGAUUUCCAUGGUGACCUGGGAUCGCACGUUGUGCAGGCAAGCAGGAAUAGAACAACCUGCUGUGUUGUCCAAUUGUGAAACCAUGUGACCACUUGCCAACCAAUCAGAUG